rnacentral:rRNA from 1 species
UCAUGGCUCAGGAUGAACGCUAGCUACAGGCUUAACACAUGCAAGUCGAGGGGCAGCAUGGUCUUAGCUUGCUAAGGCCGAUGGCGACCGGCGCACGGGUGAGUAACGCGUAUCCAACCUGCCUUACACUCUUGGACAGCCUUCUGAAAGGGAGAUUAAUACAAGAUGUUAUCAUGAGUAAGCAUUUUCGCAUGAUUAAAGGUUUACCGGUGUAAGAUGGGGAUGCGUUCCAUUAGAUAGUACGCGGGGUAACGGCCCACCUAGUCUUCGAUGGAUAGGGGUUCUGAGAGGAAGGUCCCCCACAUUGGAACUGAGACACGGUCCAAACUCCUACGGGAGGCAGCAGUGAGGAAUAUUGGUCAAUGGACGAGAGUCUGAACCAGCCAAGUAGCGUGAAGGAUGAAGGUUCUAUGGAUUGUAAACUUCUUUUAUACGGGAAUAAACGAAUCCACGUGUGGAUUUUUGCAUGUACCGUAUGAAUAAGGAUCGGCUAACUCCGUGCCAGCAGCCGCGGUAAUACGGAGGAUCCGAGCGUUAUCCGGAUUUAUUGGGUUUAAAGGGAGCGUAGAUGGGUUGUUAAGUCAGUUGUGAAAGUUUGCGGCUCAACCGUAAAAUUGCAAUUGAUACUGGCAGUCUUGAGUACAGUUGAGGUAGGCCGAAUUCGUGGUGUACCGGUGAAAUGCUUAUAUAUCACGAAAGAAUUCCGAUUGGAAAGGCAGCUUACUAACCUGUAACUGACAUUGAUGCUCGAAAGUGUGGGUAUCAAACAGGAUUAGAUACCCUGGCAGUCCACACGGUAAACGAUGAAUACUCGCUGUAGGCGAUAUACAGUCUGCGGCCAAGCGAAAGCAUUAAGUAUUCCACCUGGGGAGUACGCCGGCAACGGUGAAACUCAAAGGAAUUGACGGGGGCCCGCACAAGCGGAGGAACAUGUGGUUUAAUUCGAUGAUACGCGAGGAACCUUACCCGGGCUUAAAUUGCAACCGAAUAUGGCGGAAACGCUAUAGCUAGCAAUAGCGGUUGUGAAGGUGCUGCAUGGUUGUCGUCAGCUCGUGCCGUGAGGUGUCGGCUUAAGUGCCAUAACGAGCGCAACCCUUGCCGAUAGUUACUAACAGGUUAUGCUGAGGACUCUGUCGGGACUGCCAUCGUAAGAUGUGAGGAAGGUGGGGAUGACGUCAAAUCAGCACGGCCCUUACGUCCGGGGCUACACACGUGUUACAAUGGGGGGUACAGAGGGCUGCUACCACGCAAGUGGAUGCCAAUCCCAAAAACCUCUCUCAGUUCGGAUUGAAGUCUGCAACCCGACUUCAUGAAGCUGGAUUCGCUAGUAAUCGCGCAUCAGCCACGGCGCGGUGAAUACGUUCCCGGGCCUUGUACACACCGCCCGUCAAGCCAUGGGAGCCGGGGGUACCUGAAGUGCGUAACCGCAAGGAGCGCCCUAGGGUAAAACUGGUG